rnacentral:rRNA from 1 species
UCUCCCCGUGCAGAAGCGGGGAUGACUUCAUAAGACGAGAAGACCCUAUGGAGCUUUAGACAAAAGGCAGACCACAUUUAACACCCCCUCCCUACGGGGAAAAACACAGUGUCCCCUGGCCUAAAUGUCUUUGGUUGGGGCGACCGCGGGGGAAAACCAAGCCCCCAUGUGGACUGGGGAGACUUUCCCUAAAAUCACGAGCCACAGCUCUAAACAACAGAACUUCUGACC